UCGGGUGUGGCUCAGUGGUAGAGCACUCGCCUAGCACGUGAGAGACGCUGAGUUCCAUCUUCAGCACCACAU
rnacentral:tRNA from 1 species